rnacentral:lncRNA from 1 species
AUUUAUUUACCACCAAAUAGUAUCAAGUCUCUCUGGACAGCCCAUCCAGUAUUGGGGAGCCGGAAGAGGGUAGCGAUUGUCAGUCUUGAUUAGAAGGUUAUCGAAUUUCCAAAACAAUUUGUCCUUGAAGAACAUCGAUGUGAGAUGGAAUUCCACGCCACCUUCUUAUGUUGUGAGGAUAUCCAGGAUCCAACAUGCGGGAUGUUGCAUUAAAUCUCCAGAAUUUCUCACCCCUGAUCGUGAAACAUGGUUCUCAAACGGUUCGGAGGAGUAAAAUGCUAUUUAUUGACUUACCACUGAAAAGAAUAAUGUUAGCAUCGUCUUCUCUUUGUUUCCCGAGAGGGUACUUCUGUGACUAUGUUUACCUCGGCAUCUUUCUCUGUCGUGACGCGCUCCGUGGUAGUGGUAAUUGGCUCAUUUGCUGCAAAAUCAUCAUCUUCCACAUGUUGAGAAACUAAAAUUGAUACAUACAGUUAAUUUCUAAAUGUACGACAACUGUAUCUGGCGGUAUGGCGAAGUAUGUACGCGCAACAUCUGAUCGUAAGACUGUCUUUGAAAGAGUGGAUUUGCCAACACAACAUGCCGAUGUAUUAGAGAUGCAUUGCAAAAGUGGCCUUAUUCUCCACUGUUCGUCGUCAUCAAAAUGAAGAUCUCCCGCGUAAGACCCCAUCUCGUUGGGGAAGAAGGCAUGGGCCAGGACAUUUCCAGGACCGUCAAAGGCAUACCUUGAUCAUUCGAACAAUAAACAUGACGGAUUUUCGUUACAAGAUCCAAGAUCCGACGACGUAUCGCUUCCUUCGAGUGUUCACUUUUCUAUCAACAUCAGGAAUACCGCAUCGUGGUGAUUUCAUCAACUUGAAACGAAAAGCAAUAAUUAUGUGGCGCAG